rnacentral:rRNA from 1 species
AGCUCAGUAACACGUGGCCAAACUACCCUUCGGAACACAAUACCCUCGGGAAACUGAGGCUAAUAGUGUAUACCAUACCACCACUGGAAUGAGUGGUAUGCCAAACGCUCCGGCGCCGAAGGAUGUGGCUGCGGCCGAUUAGGUAGACGGUGGGGUAACGGCCCACCGUGCCAAUAAUCGGUAUGGGUCAUGAGAGUGAGAACCCAGAGACGGAAUCUGAGACAAGAUUCCGGGCCCUACGGGGCGCAGCAGGCGCGAAACCUUUACACUGCACGACAGUGCGAUAGGGGGAUCCCAAGUGCACAGGCAUAGCGCCUGUGCUUUUCGGUACCGUAAGGUGGUACCAGAAUAAGGGCUGGGCAAGACCGGUGCCAGCCGCCGCGGUAAUACCGGCAGCCC